GGUGAGUAACGCGUUGGUGACCUGCCCCGAAGCGUGGGAUAACAGUUCGAAAGGGCUGCUAAUACCGCAUGAGGUCUCUAGAGUUAGAGGACUGGAGACGAAAGGAGCAAUCCGCUUUGGGAGGGGCCUGCGUCCCAUCAGCUAGUUGGUAAGGUAAAAGCUUACCAAGGCGAAGACGGGUAGGGGGCCUGAGAGGGUGACCCCCCACACUGGCACUGAAACACGGGCCAGACACCUACGGGUGGCAGCAGUAGGGAAUAUUGCACAAUGGGCGAAAGCCUGAUGCAGCAACGCCGCGUGCGCGAAGAAGGUCUUCGGAUCGUAAAGCGCUUUUUGGGGAGAUGAGGAAGGACAGUAUCCCCAGAAUAAGGCCCGGCUAACUACGUGCCAGCAGCCGCGGUAAAACGUAGGAGCCAAGCGUUAUCCGGAUUCACUGGGCGUAAAGCGCGUGCAGGCGGCUCGGUAAGUUGGGCGUGAAAUCUCCUGGCUUAACUGGGAGAGGUCGUUCAAUACUACCGGGCUAGAGAGCAGUAGAGGAAGAUGGAAUUCCCGGUGUAGUGGUGAAAUGCGUAGAUAUCGGGAGGAACACCAGUGGCGAAGGCGAUCUUCUGGACUGUUUCUGACGCUCAGACGCGAAAGCUAGGGUAGUAAACGGGAAUAGAGACCCCGGUAAUCCUAGCCGUAAACGAUGUGAACUUGGCGUCGGUAGCUUAAACACUAUCGGUGCCGCAGCAAACGCGAUAAGUUCACCGCCUGGGGACUACGAUUGCAAGGAUU
rnacentral:rRNA from 1 species